ACGAACGCUGGCGGCAGGCCUAAAACAUGCAAGUCGAACGCCCCGCAAGGGGAGUGGCGCACGGGUGAGUAACGCGUGGGAAUGUACCUCUAGGUGCGGAACAACGUCGGGAAACUGACGCUAAUACCGCAUAAUAUCUCCGGAUCAAAGAUUUAUCGCCUAGAGAUCAGCCCGCGUUAGAUUAGCUAGUUGGUGGGGUAAAAGCUUACCAAGGCAACGAUCUAUAGCUGGUCUGAGAGGAUGAUCAGCCACACUGGAACUGAGACACGGUCCAGACUUCUACGGGAGGCAGCAGUUAGGAAUAUUGGACAAUGGGGGAAACCCUGAUCCAGCCAUGCUGCGUGUGUGACGAAGGCCUUAGGGUUGUAAAGCACUUUCGUCUGCGAAGAUAAUGACAGUAACAGAAGAAGAAGCUCCGGCUAAAUUCGUGCCAGCAGCCGCGGUAAUACGAAUGGAGCGAGCGUUGUUCGGAAUCACUGGGCGUAAAGCGUGCGCAGGCGGUUGUGAAAGUCAGGAGUGAAAUCCCGGGGCUUAACCUCGGAAUUGCUUUUGAAACUUCACGACUAGAGUACUGGAGGGGUUGGCGGAAUUCCGAGUGUAGCAGUGAAAUGCGUAGAUAUUCGGAGGAACACCGAUGGCGUAGGCAGCCAACUGGACAGUUACUGACGCUCAUGCACGAAAGUAUGGGGAGCAAACAGGAUUAGAUACCCUGGUGGUCCAUACCGUAAACGAUGUGUGCUAGUUGUCGGGAUCUUAGAUCUCGGUGACGCAGCUAACGCUUUAAGCACACCGCCUGGGGAGUACGGUCGCAAGAUUAAAACUCAAAGGAAUUGACGGGGACCCGCACAAGCGGUGGAGCAUGUUCUUUAAUUCGAAGCAACGCGAAGAACCUUACCCACACUUGACAUCCUCCUUGGGACUUUCAGAGAUGAUUGUCUUCGGUUCGGCCGGGGGAGAGACAGGUGCUGCAUGGCUGUCGUCAGCUCGUGUCGUGAGAUGUUGGGUUAAGUCCCGCAACGAGCGCAACCCUUAUCGUAUGUUGCCAGCAUUUAGUUGGGCACUCAUGCGAGACUGCCGGUGAUAAGCCGGAGGAAGGCGGGGACGACGUCAAAUCAUCAUGCCCCUUAUGUCUAGGGCUACACACGUGCUACAAUGGGGAGUACAAUGAGAUGCAAUACCGCGAGGUGGAGCAAAACUAUAAAACUUCCCCCAGUUCGGAUUGCAGGCUGAAACUCGCCUGCAUGAAGCCGGAGUUGCUAGUAAUCGCGAAUCAGAAUGUCGCGGUGAAUACGUUCCCGGGCCUUGUACACACCGCCCGUCACACCAUGAGAGUUGGCAAUACCCGAAGUCCGUGAGGUAACCGUAAGGGGCCAGCGGCCGAAGGUAGGGUCAGCGAUUGGGGUG
rnacentral:rRNA from 1 species